CGAUGAGUGCUAAGUGUUAGGGGGUUUCCGCCCCUUAGUGCUGCAGCUAACGCAUUAAGCACUCCGCCUGGGGAGUACGACCGCAAGGUUGAAACUCAAAGGAAUUGACGGGGACCCGCACAAGCGGCGGAGCAUGUGGUUUAAUUCGAAGCAACGCGAAGAACCUUACCAAAUCUUGACAUCCUUUGACAACUCUAGAGAUAGAGCCUUCCCC
rnacentral:rRNA from 1 species